ACUAUUAUGCGGCUGCAGCGCUGACUUGGCCCCUGAAGAUAUAGGGCUCAUCGGGUGGCCCUAAAUGCUUGGGCCACCUGAUGGGCCCUGGUGUAGAUGCACCUGUGGUAGUUUUGCCGCUCCACGUGAGGCCCGGGCCCCCCAGGGCCGCUGGGCCCAUGACAACCGUAAUGAUUGUCACCCCCUGAUGGUGGCCCUGUCUGAG